UCUGAAAGCGUAUUCAACACUGGUGGAAGAGUGUUAGAUACCUUUAGAAGCUCCCUCAACCCAGAAAUGGCUGAGGCAUUAAUCUGCUACCAAAAUUGGUUGAGACCUUGUUUGUUGCAAUUUAAAGAGGUUAAUCCAGUUGAAGAAUUAGAAAGCUCUGAAAAUAUUGUAAUAGAAUUUCAAAAGGGAACUACUAGAUCCCAAGGAGCUGGAGUUGUAGCAUCAAGGGUUGGGAUUGAAGAUGGUGGAGUUGGAUCAUCAUCUCAAUCAUAGCCAGUGGUUACUAGCUGAAAGUCCCUUGACGUUAUUUUUUGCUUAUUUUGGUCUGCAUCCACUAAAGAUAUAUGGAGUCAUUACUAUUUUUUUGGUAUAACAGUACUACUCAAUUACAUUUUUUGAGAAUCAUCAUUUGGGUGGUAUCAUUGCACUUCUCAAAAUGCAUAAUAGAUCCUUCUAAAUUGCUUAUCU